GUGAACCUGCGGAAGGAUCAUUACAGUAGUCAUCCGGGUUGCCGCAAGGCCUCCCGGGUAACCUACCACCCUUUGUUUAUUACACUUUGUUGCUUUGGCAGGCCUGCCCUCGGGCUGCUGGCUCCGGCCGGCGAGCGUCUGCCAGAGGACCUAAACUCUGUUUGUCUAUAAUGUCUGAGUACUAUAUAAUAGUUAAAACUUUCAACAACGGAUCUCUUGGUUCUGGCAUCGAUGAAGAACGCAGCGAAAUGCGAUAAGUAAUGUGAAUUGCAGAAUUCAGUGAAUCAUCGAAUCUUUGAACGCACAUUGCGCCCCCUGGUAUUCCGGGGGGCAUGCCUGUCCGAGCGUCAUUACAACCCUCAAGCUCAGCUUGGUGUUGGGCCCCGCCGCCCCGGCGGGCCCUAAAGUCAGUGGCGGUGCCGUCCGGCUCCGAGCGUAGUAAUUCUUCUCGCUCUGGAGGUCCGGUCGUGUGCUUGCCAGCAACCCCCAAUUUUUUUCAGGUUGACCUCGGAUCAGGUAGGGAUACCCGCUGAACUUAAGCAUAUCAAUAAG
rnacentral:rRNA from 2 species